AUUGAACGCUGGCGGCAUGCCUUACACAUGCAAGUCGAACGGCAGCGGACCUUCGGGUGCCGGCGAGUGGCGAACGGGUGAGUAAUAUAUCGGAACGUACCUUUCAGUGGGGGAUAACGUAGCGAAAGUUACGCUAAUACCGCAUAUUCUGUGAGCAGGAAAGCAGGGGAUCGCAAGACCUUGCGCUGAUUGAGCGGCCGAUAUCAGAUUAGCUAGUUGGUGAGGUAAAGGACUCACCAAGGACGACGAUCUGUAGCGGGUCGUGAGAGGAUGAUCCGCCACACUGGAACUGAGACACGGUCCAGACUCCUACGGGA
rnacentral:rRNA from 1 species